rnacentral:rRNA from 1 species
GAUGAACGCUGGCGGCGUGCUUAACACAUGCAAGUCGAACGUGAGAGGGUAGCAAUAUCCUUGAAAGUGGCGCACGGGUGAGUAAUACGUAGGUAACCUGCCCUGGAGUGGGGGAUAACAACUGGAAACGGUUGCUAACACCGCAUAAUACCGGACACUAGGGAUAGUGACUGGUAAAAACUCUGGUGCUUCAGGAGGGGCCUGCGGCCGAUUAGCUAGUUGGCGGGGUAAGAGCCCACCAAGGCAUUGAUCGGUAGCUGGUCUGAGAGGACGAUCAGCCACACGGGAACUGAGACACGGUCCCGACUCCUACGGGGGGCAGCAGUGAGGAAUAUUGGGCAAUGGGCGAAAGCCUGACCCAGCAACGCCGCGUGGAGGAAGACGGCCUUCGGGUUGUAAACUCCUUUUACGGGGGAAGAGGAAGGACGGUACCCCGAGAAUAAGUCACGGCUAACUACGUGCCAGCCGCCGCCGUAACAC